rnacentral:rRNA from 1 species
UCCGUAGGAGGUGAACCUGCGGAGGGAUCAUUACAAGUGACCCCGGUCUAACCACCGGGAUGUUCAUAACCCUUUGUUGUCCGACUCUGUUGCCUCCGGGGCGACCCUGCCUUCGGGCGGGGGCUCCGGGUGGACACUUCAAACUCUUGCGUAACUUUGCAGUCUGAGUAAACUUAAUUAAUAAAUUAAAACUUUUAACAACGGAUCUCUUGGUUCUGGCAUCGAUGAAGAACGCAGCGAAAUGCGAUAAGUAAUGUGAAUUGCAGAAUUCAGUGAAUCAUCGAAUCUUUGAACGCACAUUGCGCCCCCUGGUAUUCCGGGGGGCAUGCCUGUUCGAGCGUCAUUUCACCACUCAAGCCUCGCUUGGUAUUGGGCAACGCGGUCCGCCGCGUGCCUCAAAUCGACCGGCUGGGUCUUCUGUCCCCUAAGCGUUGUGGAAACUAUUCGCUAAAGGGUGUUCGGGAGGCUACGCCGUAAAACAACCCCAUUUCUAAGGUUGACCUCGGAUCAGGUAGGGAUACCCGCUGAACUUAAGCAUAUCAAUAAGCGGAGGA